AAAAACUUGUUUAGGUGGUGUUUGGAAAUAAUUUGGCCAUGUGUGUGUACAGCAAUACAUUUGACUGCCCCGCCCACCCCAGGGCCAAUCUUGUAGUGAUCAGAGCUCAAGAGAAUGUGUCCAAUGUGGGUAUAUUUUUGCAAUAAAAGUGUCUGAGAUGACAUAUUUCUGAGAUGAUGAUGAAGUAGAAGGAGCAUUAAUCUAGAAUGUUUUCUUCUCCAACCCAACACAUGUCUUUGUGUCUUCCUUUGCUGGCCCCAUGAGGAUGUGCAUAAAUUUGACAGGAUAGUCUCCAAACUCUUUGGAAAUCUCAUCUACCGUACUAAUCCAGGAUUAAUCAUUAUAACUAUUAUAAUGUUUUAUACCCUCGCAAAUUGGACCGUAAACACGUAGCUUUCCUAGCGAAAUAAAUACAUGUACCCUGUUUUCGUUAUUUAAGUGUUUUUGACGCCCUUAUUACUCAUGUACGUAACAUGCAAUAUCCUGAAAAAGAGAUAAUUUGUACAUGUUUUUUGGUUGCGCAUGUUAUCUACUUGUCAAUGGAAGUCCCCCCCCCCCCACCCCGUCUAACUUCUGAUCACUAAGCAAUGUGUUCCCUUGAUAAGUUGGACAAAUUAUUGUACAAAGCAUGGGCUAUCUGAAUUUUCACCCAUGAAAUGGUACAUCUACAUGUAUAGCGUAAGAUAGCUAGGCAAGUGUCCAAGCAAAAAAACAAAACAAAUAAACUACUGUAAGUUGAGGAAAGAGUUGGUUAAGCAGGAACUUGUUGUCUUAUCAAUGAAUCAGUGAAUCUGGUUAAUUCUACAUACAAUGUAUGAAAUGCUUUUUUGGUGGGGGGAGGGAGGGGUUUAGCUCAAUGGAUCAAUUUGUAUACAUUGUACACUGUAGGAACAAUCCUGUAUGAAACCCACACAGUGAAAGUUUGUUUACAUUACAAAGAAAUUGCAGUGGGUCAUACAUGUAUCUGCCUCAUAUGGUAAUUAUGGGCAGGGUACUAUUCCUCCAUGAUAAAACAUGUUAUUAACUGUUUACUGAGUUUGGCUGGACAUAAACUACAUGUUCAAGAACAAUGGAAAGACAUGAAUUGUACAGCUUCAGUAAAAUAGUGCAUUCAUCCCUUAUUGCAUCACAAGUAUUGAAUGCAUGUUGAUUGUUCACUGACCCAGCACAAAUAGAUAUGUGUGGGACUGUAAUGACAAUUUUUGCAGUAAGAAAUCAUAUUUUGAGAAGGGUUUUAAGACAGAGAAAAAAUAAUACACUUCCAAUUU